UUAGUUCAGUUCGGUAGAAUAUAGAUCUUUAAAAUUUAAUGUUGUAGGUUAAAAUCCUAUA
rfam:Populus trichocarpa scaffold_8_contig_35, whole genome shotgun sequence.